rnacentral:sRNA from 1 species
ACGCAUCUGGAGGCUGAAGUCCUCUAUUUGUUCCUCGAGCAGGUGCAUCACAGGCAGGAGGAAUACAGGUGUCCUCCCACACCUCCUCUCCCCAGGCAUCAACCAUUACAGGUAGGAGGCAACGUCUGGAAGAUCAGAGGUCAUUCAGUCUCUGUGGCCGUUUUUGUGCUUUU